CUAACACUUACACUAGAAUUACAAACAGAUUGCUCCUUAGAAGCGAGGAUGAUGAGACUAUGGCUUGCUUACUUUGGAUACCUCAUCAGGAAAGACCAUCAGUUUGGUAGAAGGUCGGUGAAAACAAGGGAAAUCCUUAAUGAGAUAGAUUGGCGUCAUGGCCUCGACAAUGGGCUCAAACACAUUCAAGAUCAUGAUUUUGGUGCAGGACGGUGUUUAGUUCUAUUAUCCAUGAGUCAGAGCCAAUUUGACAGCAACUAACAAUAACAGCAACAUUAAAACGUAAUUAGCAGCUUGAGGGAUUUAAGGCAGACCUCUUGGCAAACAGGAAACAGGACUUUUCAGAAUGGUACCAGCUAUGUCUUGCACAAGCUUCUAACUGCCUUCCUCUUCCUUCUGUUGAAAUUGUGGUCACUUCAAGAGAUGUAAUCUGAGAUCUUUGAAAGCUGGUUUAAAACCAUGGGUUGCAAUGGUUCAGAUUUCCCCCUUAUAAUCUUAGGGUGAGGAAAACUUUUCAACUUCUCUAGAGACACUUUCCCUCGUCACCUUUAAACACCAGGAAAUAAGUUUAAACACCAGAAGGGGUGUGGAGGGCGGGUACCUCUUUGCAGAGGGGCGCCUGUGUGCAGCAGGGCCCCUGUGUGCAGCAGGGCCCCUGUGUGCAGAGGAGAGGCUGGGCCCAGGGUUCCUCCACUUCCUUCUUGGACAGAAGGCACUGAGUAUUGUUUCGGGAAGUGGCCAGCUCAGAGAGACUUUUGUUUCUCAGUGGUCCUGCAGUUCUCUGCACUGUGAAUCACAGCAAGAGACGCUGGCAAUGGUCACCUGCCUAAGGGGCCUUCAGGGUCCUAGGGCCUGUCCUGUGUGUUGCUGGUGUGAGGUGCUGGGUUUGGAAGUUCUUCCUAGGAUUUGAGAAGAGACUCCUGCUCUUCUCCCACGCACGUUUUGCUGGAAAAGAGGACUAGCUAGCUAUUCAAUUGGCAGAAAAGACUCCAGCUGAUAAAAUAAGGAGCCCAGAUAGCGCUGAAUUGAAGAUCAUGAACUUGUCUUCUGAGCGCUGCAAUAUCUCGGACUGGCUGAGACUAGAAGCAACGGUGAAGGCCUCUGUAUAUGUGGUUGCUUUCUCCUUUGCCACAUUCAUCACUGUCAUCAUUAUUGCAAUAGUGUCACAGAAUUUGAAACUGAGGAAAGAGACCCGGUACAUUCUCCUUUGUCACCAUCUCCUGUGCAUCUCCUCCUACUGUGGCCUGGGGAUUGUUUUCCAAGGGAUGCGGGCA